UUCUGGUGGGAUCUCCGUGCCUUCUGUUGAUCCCAGAGUACUUCAAUAUGUUUUUUUAUUUCAGGUUCUGUACCAUUUCAUGCUUUUGUGUUAUGUUUUUCUUCCUUUUGUUUUACAGGAUGGAAAUGUACACCUGGUUGGAUCUACGAUGACCCAAAAGCAAUCUAGUAAGGUUUGGCCAAGCGUGGUGGGAAAGGAAGCGGUAGGCUCCUAAGCAGACUUCUGGUGAGGGCUGUGUUUCGUUUGGGUUUUUCUGGGAUGCCCACUACUCCUCCCUACCCCAUUUUGUUCAUUACCGUGUGUGAAGGAUACUUUUUUCCUUCUAGGAUUGGGGACACCAGCACCAGAUGCUCUUGCACUUCCUGACCUCCCUGGGUGGCAGCGUUGGAAGUGCCUGGACCCUUGGAAAGGGCUAAGUGAUUCCUUCAUCAUUACCAGAAUGUAGUUUGUGUUCAACAGGUGACGGUGGAGAACAGUGGCCUUCUGUUCAGCACAAAAAGUCUACUGAGGAUCUAGGUGGAUAAAACAAGAACACAGAGCCACAGCUGGAUGCCAAUAUCUAUUCCUUCCUCUGUCUGGCAAGCUCUGAUGACCCUUGAGGUCGUUUCCAUGCUUGCAGAGGUCCUAUCUGCUUGGUGUCGGUUGUGCCCUAUGUUCACUUGGCUUUCCAAGGGUGUUGUUGCCUUAUAAUAUUUUUCCCACCCUGUUUCCAAGCAGGAGCUCCCCUUGGCCUCUGUGUCUUGCUCUGGCCAGGCAGAUGUAGUGCGCCAACGGUACGCAGAGUGCAGAUCCUGAGCAGAACAACUGAGAGAGGCUGCCCUGGGUGAGACAGAAGUGCCCCUUGGAGUGGGGGACGCCCCGCUGGCGCUGCCUCUCGCAUCCACCGGCAGCAUGUUCCUUCUCUCUCCUUGGCACCCGGCGCUUUGCUGUCUCUCAGGGCUCACUAAGUCCAAAUGUUCCCUGAUGGAGUCCAACUCCAGCUUGACCAACACUCACCCCAUCUUGUCCCUGCACCAGCUGGCUUAGAGCUCCCCAGCAUUGCUGGCUGUUGGUGCCUUCUGAUGCUCCCAGUCAGCAUGGCUCUGUUCUUUGUCUUUUGGGUUCCAGAACAUUUGCUACAGCUUAUGGAGUGUUUCUCUUCUCUCUCUUCUUGUCUUCCAUGUUGCCCGUUGGCACCUCAGUGGAGUUUCAGUGACCCAAACGCAGACUGCUCUGCAUUGACCAAGCGUGAUACCAAGAGAAGAGCUAGGCACCAGAACAGGCUGCUGGAUAGGAGACUCUGCCAUCAGAUGGCGUUGCCUGUUCUUCUUCUCUCCCCAGUUUGCAGAGUUGGAUGUGACCUCAGCAUGGAUAAGGGGUAAGUGAUUCCUCCAUCCUGACCAGAAGGUAAUCUCUACUUGUCUUGUGCUGUGUGGAGCAGGUUGCAGUGGAGAAGUGCAGUUGUCCGGGGCGCUGCAAGGACUCUAUGGAGGCAUUUGGUGGACAUUGCAGGAACCCACAGCCAGAGAUGGACGCCAAGAUGCACUCCUUCCUCUGUCUGGCAAGCUCUGCUGACCCCUGAGGUCGUUCCCGCGCUUGCAGAGGUCCUACGGGCUUGGUGUUGGUUGUCGCUUGUGCUCACCUUGCUGUCACUGGGUGUUCUUCCUUUACCCAUCUUAGGGCUCCCCAGUUCUGGUGGGAUCUCAGUACCCUCUGCUGAUACCAGACAAUAUGGAUUUGUUCUCUUAUCUUCAGAUUCAGUAUGUUUUCCUGCUGUUAUGUAAUGUUUGCCUUAGUUUUUUUUAAUUUUUGUUUUAUUUCCGGGCUGCUUAUUGAUCCACCUUGGGUCUGGAAUAAACCAAAUGAUUUCUGGUAAGGUUUGACCAAGUGAGAUGGAAAAUGAAGUGGUAUACUCCAAAACAGGCUUGCAUAUUGGAGACUUAUCCACCACAUGGUGAUGCCUUCCCUGACCUCCUUGAUUGCAGUGUGGGAUGUGCCCUGAUCCUUGGAAAGGGGUGAGUGAUUCCUGCAUCCUCACUAGAAGGUAAUCUCUACUUAAUUAUUCUUGUGUCCAUCAGUUGGCACUGGAGAGUUGUGACCCUGCUGAGCAGUGCAAGGACUCUACUGAGGCUCUUGGUGGACACAGCAAGAACCCACACCCAUAGAUGGAUGCCAAUAUCUAUUCCUUCCUCUGUCUGGCAAGCUCCGGUGUCCCCUGAGGUCGUUCCCAUGCUUGCAGAGGUCCUAUGGACUUGUUGGUUUUUGCUUGUGCUCACUGGGCUUUCCAAGGGUGUUCCUCUUACUUGACAACACCUUUCCCAUCCUCUAUUUCCAAGCAGGAGCUCCCUUUGGCCUCCAUGUCUCGCUCUGGCCAGGCAGAUGUGGUGUGCCAAUGGAUCAAAGCCUUCAGAAUCCAACCAAAAGA